rnacentral:piRNA from 1 species
UGCCACAUGUGCGUUGACCUCAUUGG